AUGAACGCUGGCGGCGUGCCUAAUACAUGCAAGUCGAGCGAACGGACGAGAAGCUUGCUUCUCUGAUGUUAGCGGCGGACGGGUGAGUAACACGUGGAUAACCUACCCAUAAGACUGGGAUAACUUCGGGAAACCGGAGCUAAUACCGGAUAAUAUUUUGAACCGCAUGGUUCAAAAGUGAAAGACGGUCUUGCUGUCACUUAUAGAUGGAUCCGCGCUGCAUUAGCUAGUUGGUAAGGUAACGGCUUACCAAGGCAACGAUGCAUAGCCGACCUGAGAGGGUGAUCGGCCACACUGGAACUGAGACACGGUCCAGACUCCUACGGGAGGCAGCAGUAGGGAAUCUUCCGCAAUGGGCGAAAGCCUGACGGAGCAACGCCGCGUGAGUGAUGAAGGUCUUCGGAUCGUAAAACUCUGUUAUUAGGGAAGAACAUAUGUGUAAGUAACUGUGCACAUCUUGACGGUACCUAAUCAGAAAGCCACGGCUAACUACGUG
rnacentral:rRNA from 1 species